AUCGGUGACCGCACAAAGUCCCAUCCAAGACCGAAAUACUUGUACGGGUAUUUUUGUUCCCUCUGAACAUCAUCAAUCAGGUACAAGUUAGACAGGAAUGAAAACAUUUCUGUGCAUUUAAUGACCGUACAUUCCUCAAAACAUCUAACCAUCCAUCAUUUCUUAGACAUCUGCUUACAAGCAUCCGGACUUUAUUGUUAUCUUUUAAAGUUUCUUCCUGGAGGUCUUCGACAGUUUGUCCUUAGACAUUUCUUACUUUGUCAAUCAUUUUCAGUACGGUUGCUUAACUGACUAGGACAGAGGUUAUAAUGUGUGUAGGGAAUUGAGGACGUUGUGGGCAACACAACAACUGUCUGUCUUAAAAACUAUCCAUGACAAGGAAAAGUGUCUGAAAAGCAUUCAGACACUUUUUUCAGCUUUAAGAAAUGGGGGAAAAACAGCAAUGUUUUGAGACCCAUCAUCCUUCGGUUGAUCAUCUAUGAUCAACCGAAGGAUGAUGGGUCUCUUUGUUAACUUGUGUUAUUUUUCCAAGUUUUCAUAGAUUCUAUUCAAGAGCAGGUAAGAUGUUUUUGUUCAUAACAGAUUAAUAGUAAAAAAAAUGAUCCAAUAAUGUUCUUUACUAAGUAGACCGUUAUGUGUACAAUACCCCUUCAAACGCUGGAUUAGCAAAGAUAUCCUUUAUCACAGGGUUGACUAGUCCAAGUAGCGUUUAUCUCAGAAAAAUGUGAAAAAUGUAAUUUUGUUCACCCCACUGGUCUGGUCAAAAUUUAGCUUGAACAAACUCUAGGCUUGGUUUGCCCAUGUCAGUGAUAUAGAGCAACGUUCAACCAUAUUUAGACAUCAGCAGAUGUUUCAGUUUCUCACGCAUGUCUUACGUUGCUUAUAUGGGAAAGAAUGUGUCCUCUAUUCAAAGUCACUCCAUCCAUAUUAUCCUAAAAAGUGUUUGAAAAAGUAAAUCUAAUCCAAUCAUACAGACAGAUUCCAAGUCAGCUACAUCUAUUCCAAUUUAUCCUAGUUAUCAAACAAUCCAGUCAAGUUCAGUUUAUUAUUUUAAUCGGUUAAAAGUUUUCUAUCUAAGCAAACCCUGUUGACUUUGCAGCAAUCCCUCAUAGCGAGCAUGCCUGUAGCGACAGUGGAGGGGAAAUGUCUCCUUCCUUCAUUCAUUUGGAUUUUUAGGACCUGAAUUAUUGACAGGUCAGAAUAAAAACACCCAAAAAAAAUAAAUACUCCAAUAAAGCUGGUCAUGUUCAGCUUAUUUGUAAAGAAACCUCUGACAAGAUAAAAAGGUGCAGACUCCCCAACAUAAAACCUUUAAUCAGAGUUUGGUCAGAUACGCAGACGGAUGGACGGAGGGAGUGAGAAGUUCUCUCACAAUCAUUUAUCUGUUUCUUCUCCUCCCAAAAUACCCCAACAGAUACACUGAGCCUGAUACAACAUGACACUUCCUGUUUAGACUCAGAGGCUGGCCAGCCUGUCAGGGUGAUAUGUGACAGAGAGAGGCACUGCCACACAGAGACCGCUGUGCACCGCUGAAGCACGAUAUAGUGGAGCCAUUACUGCUGGAGCUGGACUGCUCUGAGGCAGAACAAAUCAUCUGUCAGAGCCGGGGAACCUGCAGCUGAGACGCUCUGGACCCGUUCUGUAGAGAAACCGUCACUUUCACUUCACAUCUAAAGCAUCAAAAAUAUCUGUGCUCUCUGCAGUGAGUCUGUCUGACAUUAUGUUGCACUAUUACACAACCUCUUUCAUUAUAAUCGCCGACUGGCUCCCAUAAAAGCUGGAACGUUUCUAUAAGUUCUAUAGAAGGCGCAGGACGAUAUUGAUGUUUAAUGUUUCAGUCGGGC